rnacentral:rRNA from 1 species
CCCUUAGAUGUUCUGGGCUGCACGCGUGCUACACUGAUAUUGCCAAUAUGUCAUUCUUAUCCGAAAUGGAUUGGGUAAUCAAGUAAUGAAAUUUCAUACUUGGAAUCGGUAAUUGCAAUUUUAUCGUGAACGAGGAAUUCCUAGUAAGCACUAGUCAUCAGCUAAUGUUGAUUAUGUCCCUGCCCUUUGUACACACCGCCCGUCGCUACUACUGAUUGGGUGUUCAAGUGAGAUGCUUAGACCCUUGUUGCAUGGUUCAUUAUUGUGCUCCGAAAGGAAAAAGUUUCAAGCUUGAGUGUCUAGAGGAAGUAAAAGUCGUAACA